GGGAAUAUAGCUCAGUUGGUAGAGUGCUUGCUUUGCAUGCACGAAGUCCUGGGUUCAAUCCCCAGUGCACACA
rnacentral:tRNA from 1 species